rnacentral:rRNA from 1 species
AUUGAACGCUGGCGGCAUGCCUUACACAUGCAAGUCGAACGGCAGCACGGGAGCAAUCCUGGUGGCGAGUGGCGAACGGGUGAGUAAUAUAUCGGAACGUGCCCAGUCGUGGGGAUAACGUAGCGAAAGCUACGCUAAUACCGCAUACGAUCUAUGGAUGAAAGCGGGGGAUCGCAAGACCUCGCGCGAUUGGAGCGGCCGAUAUCAGAUUAGGUAGUUGGUGAGGUAAAGGCUCACCAAGCCGACGAUCUGUAGCUGGUCUGAGAGGACGACCAGCCACACUGGGACUGAGACACGGCCCAGACUCCUACGGGAGGCAGCAGUGGGGAAUUUUGGACAAUGGGCGCAAGCCUGAUCCAGCAAUGCCGCGUGCAGGAUGAAGGCCUGUGUAGAUCUUUACCCGUACGUAUGAUAAUAGACAGU